CUCCCCCUUUUGUCAGGGGAAUUUUCACAUUCAAAUACGUUAUUAGCAUAACACCAAAGCCCCAAGCUCCCUCCUCCAACAACAGCGAGCAUUGUCUGAAAAUAUCAAAAUAUAUACGUCUAUUUCUGUCUUAUAUUUAUGAACCCGUGUCUCUUGGUGGCACUGCUGCAAAAACACACAAUAUUGUCCUUUUUGAAGUAUUUGUCUGUUCUAAAAUCACAUUGAGUGAGGCUAAAACCUUUGACACCAACUCAGUUUGCAUAUUUCUGUGUCAAAGUCCACAUUAAUCCCCAUUAAACUAGUACAACAAAACCCCAUUGUAGUAAUACGCUUAAAAACUGAGUGGCCUACUUCUUUCAAAAGUUCAACUUCAUAUUUCCAAGAUAACUCAAUAAGGAAAUGUUAUCUAAGACUGAAUAUGAGAGAUUUGAUUCAAUCUCACUGAGCAUUUUUUGGUCUAAAAGAUAUCUAAUAGACAUCUAAAUAGCCUAGGCUAAAACCUUUGACACCAACUCAGUUUGCAUAUUUCAAGGUGUCAAAGUCCACAUUAAUCCCCAUUAAACUGGGAUAACAAAACCCCGUUGUAGCAAUAAGAUUCAAUACUGAGUAGUCAACUCUCUCAAAAGUUCAACUUCAUGUUUCCAAGAUAAUUCAAUAAGGAAAAGUUAUUUAAGACUGAAUAUGAGAGAUAUGAUUCAAUAUCCCAUUGAGCAUUUUUUGGUCAGAAGGAGGUCCAAUAGAUGUCUUAAUGUAGCCUAGGCUAAAACCUUUAACAUUUACUUAGUUUGCAUAUUUCUAGGUGUCAAAGUCCACAUUAAUCCCCAUUAAACUGGAAUAA